ACGAACGCUGGCGGCGUGCUUAACACAUGCAAGUCGAACGGAAAGGCCCUGCUUUUGUGGGGUGCUCGAGUGGCGAACGGGUGAGUAACACGUGAGUAACCUGCCCUUGACUUUGGAAUAACUUCAGGAAACUGGGGCUAAUACCGGAUAGGAGCUCCUGCUGCAUGGUGGGGGUUGGAAAGUUUCGGCGGUUGGGGAUGGACUCGCGGCUUAUCAGCUUGUUGGUGGGGUAGUGGCUUACCAAGGCUUUGACGGGUAGCCGGCCUGAGAGGGUGACCGGCCACAUUGGGACUGAGAUACGGCCCAGACUCCUACGGGAGGCAGCAGUGGGGAAUAUUGCACAAUGGGCGGAAGCCUGAUGCAGCAACGCCGCGUGCGGGAUGACGGCCUUCGGGUUGUAAACCGCUUUCGCCUGUGACGAAGCGUGAGUGACGGUAAUGGGUAAAGAAGCACCGGCUAACUACGUG
rnacentral:rRNA from 1 species